GUCGUAAGUAUGUACUAUGUGAAUACGGACGGGCCUCUGGCGCCAUUGUAGUGUACGCUUUUGUUUACAUUUUGAGGGGCAAGGUGUUGCUCUGCGCUGCCAUCGCCUACAUGAGACAAUCUGACGAUGCCCUAUCCAAGCGAGACACGUCGUUCUUGAGUUCAUAAAGAACACUGUACAACCUAGGACAGCUUUUUAAAUAGUAUUCGACCUGUGAUUAUGGAUACUGAAGAUAGUGCGCGCGGAAGAAACUCCGUAUUCAUGGACUGUCUCAUGCCAGUGAAACACCUGGCGGUGCUGAUGUCCUGGACUAGAAACCAGCAUCAUGUGGCCAGCUGUUGUACUACCCUGGUUGCAAUGGCAGAUGAGCAGCUGACACAGAACUCUAUGCUCAAGUGGAAUAUGAUUUUGUAUUCGUGGGUAUAAAGGAGGACACCAUCAUAAACUUACAAAAAACAUCUAGACCGCUAAGUGGCGCUAGUGUAGUGUUCGCAUAUUGAACAGGAAGGGAGCAGACACUUGCAGGGCAACAGUGAGUAAACUUGAUCGAUCGUGUGCAGCUUUAAAUUGCAAUAACAAGAAUGGAAGGAAAAACUAAAAUGUGAAAGAAUGUUACAUUACAAAGGUUCCCUCAUUCUGAUUAUUCUCUCAAUCAGAAAUGGAUAGUUGCAUCUUGCGGAGAGAUUUUUGACCCACAGCAAAUCAUUCACUGUUUUCUGAUCAUUUUGAAGAGUGUUGCUAUAUUGCAAAUCAUGUGAAUAGAAGGCAACUAAAUGACGAUGCUAUAUCCACAAUAUUUGAAUUUCGACCUCAUUUGAAUAAGGUUACUAAGGAAAGGAAACAACGAAAGCCAAAAAAUGAAGUCAAGGCUGUUCAGAACGUCUGUGAAAAUGAAAUGCCUUUUUCUGUUUACAUUUAAGAAACGUCAUUCAUUUCCGUCAACUCGAACGAAAUUGAAGGGAAAGUACGAUCCAAAGGAAAGUACUAUCGAAUGAUUGAAAGGAAGGUGGGGAAAAACUGUACUUUAUAAGAAUAAGUUCAAUACAGACGCUGAAAGUUGUGAAUUGGCAAAUAUUUUGGAACAACUGAAAGUGAAAAAGUUUAACGAUAAAAUGAUAUAAUUAACGCCAUUCAUAGUGACAUGUUGUUGGAAAUACUAGAUUGUAGCAAAAUCGGAGCACAACAGUAUCCUGAAAAAGUUAAAACCAUUUACUAUAACUUUAAACUUUCAAAACUCCAGCUGCCUACUUGUAUGUUCACAGUACAUUUAUUAUUGCCAGAUGAACGCACAUUAUGUAGAUGAUGAUACAACUCUAUUAAACAUUUGCUGGGAUUUACAGCAAAUUUCUAAAUUAUAAAAGCGCGUAUCCAGAUAUAUUUUGUGCGUUAAUGUUUUGAUGAAAUGUCAAUGAAGAAGUGUACUGAGUGAGAUGGCACUGAAUUUGAGGGCUAUGUUAAUUUUGGGUGUGUUCCAACAACAUUAGCAAUAGAGGAAUCUGAAUGUAAAGAGGGUUUUGUUGUUAUGCCAGUUGGUGUCAUUGACCAUUGGACAACCCCUGUACAGUACUUCUUGACGGUGUUUCUGCCUGGGAGAAGACCAUUAUUGAAAUGGCCAUUACAGUGUUACAUGACGAAAAUAUGGCUGUAUAACUAUCACUUGCGAUGGCUUUUCAACAAAUAUUGCAAUGGCCAAGGAGCUAGAUCUAACUAUUGCAGCUCAUCCUGUUUCAGGUAAUAAUGUACAUAUUUUUGAUCCAUGGCAUAUAAUAAAGUUAAUUAGAGAUUUGUUUGCUACAUUUAAGAAUAAAGUUGGUGGUAGUGGAAGAAAAGUAUGCUGAGAAUACAAUGAAAAGCUUCAUUCCAUACAAGAAAAUGAAGUGCUUCAUCUUGCAAAGAAACUCAAAUUGUUACAUCUGAAUUUUGGUCAGCAGAAGAUGAAAGUAAAUCUACUGUUAAAGUUUUCAUUGCUUCAGUUAGCAGGUUCGUUACUCGUUUACUACCAAACGUCAGUUCUGGUAGUGUUUUUGUAAUGGACAAUGCGCCAUAUUAUUUUGAAUAAUUAAAUAAGGCACCAAUGGCUACUGCAAGGAGAGAUGUAAUAGUCAGCUCGUUGAAAAAUAAUGAAAUAGGCUUUGAACAGAAAAUGCAGAAAAUGGAACUUCUGGAAUUAGUGAAAUGAUACAAGCCACAGAAGACGCAUUAUGUGAUUGAUACAUUAGCAGAGAGCUACAGCCACAAAGUUACACGUCUUCCACCAUAUUACAAAGCAAAUGAACUCAUUUGGGCUCAAAUAAAAGCAGAUGUGCGGAGCGAAACAAAACCUUUACGUUGCAAGUCACAGAGAGGCUGCUAAAUGAGGCUGUCACACGAAUAACUACAAAAAUUGGAAGGACGUCGUGAACCAUGUGUGGAAAGAGAUUACAAGGUGAAACAUAGAGGAAGGUGUAAGAGAAGCAUCUGUUCAUAAUAUUGUAAUUUAUUUAUUAGGUGAUGAGGACAGCAACAGUGAAGAUACUGAAGACUGUGUGGUCGUGACGAGAGAGAGAGCCAAUCAGAUGACAGUGAUAUUGGGGGUUUCCAUUAUAUUGCACGAAAAAUAGAGAAAUGGAGGAGAAACGGGAAUGGAUGAAGCAGGAUACA